GAUGAACGCUGGCGGCGUGCCUAAUACAUGCAAGUCGAGCGAACAGACGAGGAGCUUGCUCCUCUGACGUUAGCGGCGGACGGGUGAGUAACACGUGGAUAACCUACCUAUAAGACUGGGAUAACUUCGGGAAACCGGAGCUAAUACCGGAUAAUAUAUUGAACCGCAUGGUUCAAUAGUGAAAGACGGUUUUGCUGUCACUUAUAGAUGGAUCCGCGCCGCAUUAGCUAGUUGGUAAGGUAACGGCUUACCAAGGCAACGAUGCGUAGCCGACCUGAGAGGGUGAUCGGCCACACUGGAACUGAGACACGGUCCAGACUCCUACGGGAGGCGGCAGUAGGGAAUCUUCCGCAAUGGGCGAAAGCCUGACGGAGCAACGCCGCGUGAGUGAUGAAGGUCUUCGGAUCGUAAAACUCUGUUAUUAGAGAAGAACAAAUGUGUAAGUAACUAUGCACGUCUUGACGGUACCUAAUCAGAAAGCCACGGCUAACUACGUG
rnacentral:rRNA from 1 species